rnacentral:rRNA from 1 species
GACGAACGCUGGCGGCGUGCUUAACACAUGCAAGUCGAACGGAAAGGCCUCAAGUUUACUUGGGGUACUCGAGUGGCGAACGGGUGAGUAAUACGUGAGUAACCUGCCCCUUACUUUGGGAUAAGCCCUGGAAACGGGGUCUAAUACUGAAUAUUUUGCUUCUGCCGCAUGGCGGGGGUUGGAAAGUUUUUCGGUAGGGGAUGGGCUCGCGGCCUAUCAGCUUGUUGGUGGGGUGAUGGCCUACCAAGGCUUCGACGGGUAGCCGGCCUGAGAGGGUGACCGGCCACAUUGGGACUGAGAUACGGCCCAGACUCCUACGGGAGGCAGCAGUGGGGAAUAUUGCACAAUGGGGGAAACCCUGAUGCAGCGACGCCGCGUGGGGGAUGAAGGCUUUCGGGUUGUAAACUCCUUUCAGCACAGAAGAAUUUGACGGUAUGUGCAGAAGAAGCGCCGGCUAACUACGUGCCAGCAGCCGCGGUAAUACGUAGGGCGCAAGCGUUGUCCGGAAUUAUUGGGCGUAAAGAGCUCGUAGGCGGUUUGUCGCGUCUGCUGUGAAAGUUCGGGGCUUAACCCUGGGAUUGCAGUGGGUACGGGCAGACUAGAGUGCGGUAGGGGUAAUUGGAAUUCCUGGUGUAGCGGUGGAAUGCGCAGAUAUCAGGAGGAACACCGAUGGCGAAGGCAGGUUACUGGGCCGUUACUGACGCUGAGGAGCGAAAGCAUGGGGAGCGAACAGG